rnacentral:rRNA from 1 species
AUUGAACGCUGGCGGCAUGCCUUACACAUGCAAGUCGAACGGUAACGGGUCCUUCGGGAUGCCGACGAGUGGCGAACGGGUGAGUAAUAUAUCGGAACGUGCCCAGUAGUGGGGGAUAACUGCUCGAAAGAGCAGCUAAUACCGCAUACAACCUGAGGGUGAAAGGGGGGGAUCGCAAGACCUCUCGCUAUUGGAGCGGCCGAUAUCAGAUUAGCUAGUUGGUGGGGUAAAGGCCUACCAAGGCAACGAUCUGUAGUUGGUCUGAGAGGACGACCAGCCACACUGAGACUGAGACACGGCCCAGACUCCUACGGGAGGCAGCAGUGGGGAAUUUUGGACAAUGGGCGCAAGCCUGAUCCAGCAAUGCCGCGUGCAGGAAGAAGGCCUUCGGGUUGUAAACUGCUUUUGUCAGGGAAGAAAUCUUCUGGGCUAAUACCCCGGGAGGAUGACGGUACCUGAAGAAUAAGCACCGGCUAACUACGUG